AAUGUUCCCGUUAAAGUCAAACCCAUACUAUAUUUACUCACAACUGUCCGAUCCUGUUGAGGUUAAAUCUAAGCCGCAUAAAAUAGGUUGAUUCUUCUAGAAGCAGAAGUUAACAGCGGUUUCUCCACCAUCCCACUCUCCCGGUGAUUUCGGUCAGUUUUUCCUCCUCACCUACAAAACUCCUCCGCCAUUUCAAUCAUCUUCUCCCCGUGAUUCCAUUCAUCCCAAUUUGGGGUUUUAGUUGAUGAUCAUAAUUGUUCAUAUGUUGCUUUCCUUUUAAUUUUCGAGGAACUCCUAUCAUCUUUAAGGAAAACAAAUAGGCGGCCUUGAGGCUGAUAUGAUGGCAUUGAAGGAACUUUAAAUCUUCAAGGUAAUUUUCUAUUUAAUCCUCACCGCUGGUAACAGUUAUUCGGUCUUCAAUCUCGGGCUAACAUUGGUUGUUUCUCACAGUAUGUGGAUUGAAGUUUCAAGAUAUUACAGAAGGCAAUGUGCAAAUUAGGAUCAUGAUGGUUCACACAUCAAAGGGCUACUUGUGAACUUUCUUCACUCAUUUUUGGCCAUCUUUACUAGAAGUUCCAGAAUUUGUGUUUGACUACUGUCGAUCAUUAAGGGAAUCUUUAGUGACAUGUCUAUUCGUGAUGGCUCUAAUCUCUACCCUACUUUUUUGGAUAUUGAAAUCUUAAAAAGGUUGUUGGAUGAUGUUCGUUUGGUUGAUUUACCUUUUUUUCAUUCCUUUUUUUUGCUUCAGACUUCCAGUUUGAUUACGUCUUUCGUUGGAUAUCAACAAUCGCAACUUGUCAAUCCGCCACUCUUGGUGCUAAUGCUGGACUAAGUGCUGGAGCCCUUCCUUUGGUUUCUAACCUGAAUAGGCAAAUAUUUGUGUGUUGGAAAGACUUGGAUCGAGCAACAAAGCCUUGAAAGCUUAGCAAGUUGUGUUUUGACCUUUCACCAACCGGCCCUUUUCGCCACCUGGCACAUGUGCCAUUAGAGUUAGUGAACCUAACUCAUCCCGUGCACGGACUACAAAUGUAAGCCCCUGUGUACUCAACAAUGGUUCAAGGUUGGCCCAAAGGAGCUAACCUGUUGUGUCCUCAGACCAGGAACGACCCUUUUCUAGAUAUGCUUUCAAGCAGCAACCUCAAAAACUUUGAAUCAACACUAACGAGUAUUGAGGGCAUGCACUUUUAACACAAUCGAGGGAAAUUACAUCUUGCCCACUCCACGUGUAAAUAUGUUUCUUAAAAGCAUGCACCACUAAAAAAGCUACAGAAAGUGAAAACAACGCAGGGUUUCAUCACAGCUAUGGUCAUAAUGAGAGUCGACAUUCUUUUUUCUGAUGUACUUGGUUUGUGGAUUUUGUUUUUUCAAUACAUUUACCUACUAAAUUUUAAAUGUGAUGGUUUAUAGAACUUAUUUGGUUUUAUAUUAAUCAGUUUGUCCUGCCUAAACCUGCUGGUUUUGGUCAGACACCGUCUAAACCCAAAAUUGGAUGCGUAUGAUGCUGAAGAUUAGACUGUCUUUAUGUUUUGGAGGCUGGUUGGUGAAUCAUUAAGCAACGGGUUUGACGUUUUAAACGUAUCGUUUUAGUAAAACAGGAUAACGACUAUAGGUGAAGUGAGUGCCUAGCUUUUAGAUAUUCUGGUGAACCCGGCCGUGUGGGAAAUUAGUGGACGCAUGGUGUUGAAAACAGAGGAAUAUGUUCAUCUCAUUAAAGAAAAAGCAUGGCGACUGCUUGCAGAGGUUUCUUUAAUUCUAUGUUGAAACAAGGUUUCAAGAAGUGAUGAUUAUCUUCGAAACAGUUUCAUGUGCUGCCAUUGAGAAAAUGUUGUCGGAGGAUAAGCAAGAUGCUGUUGAAGUUGGUAGUUUUAAUAAUUUUCGCAGUGCAGCCAUCAUGCAGCGAGGCAUUAAAUACACAAUUUUCUUUAAAUGUUAUGUUAUGUUGUUUAAAUGUCUUAAUCAGUUUUCAUA